GAGUUCAUGCCCGAAAGGGUAGACCUCCCACCCUUGUGUAUUAUUACCUUGUUGCUUUGGCGAGAUAUCGUUAGGCCUUUAAAUCCUGACGCUCGCCAGAGAAUAACCAAACCCUUUUUAUUAAUAUCGUCUGAGUAAUUUAUAAUAGUUAAAACUUUCAACAACGGAUCUCUUGGUUCU
rnacentral:misc_RNA from 1 species